ACAGGGCCCGGGAAGAACUCAGAGGCCUGACUCGCACGUGGGACAGGGCCCGGGAAGAACUCAGAGGCCUGACUCGCACGUGGGACAGGGCCCGGGAAGAACUCAGAGGCCUGACUCGCACGUGGGACAGGGCCCGGGAAGAACUCAGAGGCCUGGCUCCCACGUGGGACAGGGCCCGGGAAGAACUCAGAGGCCUGGCUCCCACGUGGGACAGGGCCCGGGAAGAACUCAGAGGCCUGGCUCCCACGUGGGACAGGGCCCGGGAAGAACUCAGAGGCCUGACUCGCACGUGGGACAGGGCCCGGAGCGGGCACCCGAGGCUGCGUGCAGGCUGGUCCUGGGCCACCAAACCCUGGCAGCUGGGCCAGGAGCUUCGGAGCGUGGGUUUCUGUUUUCGCCCCUCUCGCCCUCAGGCCGCCCCGCAGAGUCUUCCCGCCCCACAGAGUCUUCUCACCGCAGAAAUUACAACGGUGCCUGACUACACCCAGUGCCUCCAUCCUUCCCCGCCAGGCUCUUCUCGCUUCUUGGCAAACCUGUCCUUGGAACACCCUCUGCCGACCCCUGUUACCCUGAUCAAAUCCAUGCUCUUCAGCAGGCUCGUGAGCCCUUUGCAAAGUGGCCCAAGAGGCAUCAUGCCCUGCCCUCCAGCCACUCCUGGGGGCUCCUGCAAGGCCGGGCAUCCCACACCGGCAGCGGGUGCUCGUCCUGCCACAGUCUGUGCGGCGUGUGAAUGAAGGCUGUAGUCCUGUGGUCUGCGGGAGGCACAUUCCACCUCCAGCUGUCAAACAUCAGGGGACUGGCAGUCUAUCCCAGGUGGGCAUCUCAUGGCACCCAAAGGCCACUACCUAGCCAGGCCUCGGGAAGGUACUGUAAUCCAGGACUCUGAGGUGUGGCUUCAUGUCCCCCUCCCUCCCUCCCUCCCUCCGUCCCUCCCCCCAUCUCUGUGUUCCUGAGAUGGCUCAUUUCCUGUCAGGCUCCUGGUCUGCUCUAGGAGCUGGAACCACAUUGGUGCCUCCUCAGUCAGUGUCCACCCCUAGUGUCAUCCACAGUGGCCGACGGAAGGGUGGCCAGUGGUGCAGGACAGUCGCCAUCUUGGGAGAGAUCACAGGGACAGGAAGGGCCUCUCCACCCGAACAGAUGAGAGGUUCUGCGGUGGCAGAAAACAUUUACACACAUGUGGCUGUCCCCCGGGUCUGUUGAGAGGCCACUUGAAAGGGACACGUGCAUCUGUCGCCUUCAGACUCUGAGCUCCUGAGGCUGGGCUGCUGGCGUGCCACGCCAGCAUGUGACAGCACUUGAAGGAAAGUCCCUGGAAAGAUUGUGAAUCGUUGCAGAAAUCCCGUGAGAAAGCACCCCAGGAGGGCCCCAUGCAGCACCCAGCAGAACUCCUUAAACUCCCGUGUCCCCCCAACACUCCACAGUGUGGUGGCUACUUCCGUCUCCCCAGGCUUAGCUGGCCUGGGUCUUGCAGGCCUCUCCUCCCCUGUCCCCACACAGCACCCCCUCUGCCACUGCACAGCUGGAUGAGUGACGGCCAGGCGGCUGUGGCUGCUUGGGCAACAGGAGCGCUUGACCCUGUUCUGCUGGCCUUGUUGGCCUCACUCCCGUGGAGAGCCAAAGUUACUAUAUCUCUGAGGCUAAGGCUUUCUUUCUAGGCGUGGGGGAAUCGAACCCCAUGUCUGUGAUUAGAGAAUUUAUCAAUGUUUUAAAAUGACUUUUUCAAUUCCAUCAUUUGAGGGCCCUCUCGCAAGGAGCCCGUUAAUACUUGGAGUGCCCACAACAUGCCAGAAUGCAUAUAUGAAGAGCUGGGCCUUGCUGUUCUUAUUCAUUGGGGACUCCAAUGGCCACUCAGGAUGACUGGGGAAAUGGAGGCUCCAAGAGAUUUGGCUGCUUUGUGAGGUACUCGGCAGUGGUCAGACAUGAAGGAAACAGGUAUGGCACCCCCAAACCACACCUCUCCCUACGGGCCACAGCUGCCUGUGCAACCUUGGGAGGGAAAUGGAAGAACAGAGUAGGGUGUCUGAGUGUGGACACACCCUGCUGCAAGGGCUGAGGGGGCCUCAGAGUGGAGCCCGCCCCCAGGCCCAGGCUCAGCUCAGCUCAGCUCAGGGACCUGGGGCCCAGGCUUUCCUGGGGAGGAAGGUGUUGGAUCUCCUGCCUGUCUGUAUUCAUUAAUGCUUUGGGCUUCUCUCUCUAAUGCACAUUCUAACACCUGCAGGAUUUAUGGAUGAAGGUCGCAAACCCACAUUUGGUCUCAUUCCACAGAUGCUGUGUCCUGCCCUGCCCUACACCAGUCGAGCCUCUGCAGGGUGGGGUGGGACUGUCUCUGCCCACACUGCCUGCCCCACGGGUUGUAGUUCUAGGAAAGCAAGUCUCAGACUGAGUUUUGAUCCAGAUUAAAUUCUGUCUCAGGUGCAGAUAUUUAUAGGCAAGCAGGAACAAGUCCUCAGGCAAAGCUGGGCGUCCUGCAAUGUGUGCCUUUGGGAGUUCCCAGAUAAUAAGGCCUUUUCCUGGAGGCAAAGCAGAGGGGUUCUGCGGCAGAGCGGCCAGCUUGCUAGCAGGUCAGGGGCAGGGACUUCUAGGCCCAAGGCGUGACCGCUGUGCCCUGCUGCUGGCUCUCCUCUUGCAAGGACACAGCGCCUGCAGGACUCUAGCCCAGCCAAGAACACUUUUCCCUCAUUGAAAAGUUAUUGGUAAGUGCCACAAUAUGCACGAGCAGCCCUUCCAGUGCUGGCAUGUGGUCUGGUGUUUGAGAAUCUUGCCAGCUGAAUGUGGUCAUCUGCUUAGGGUUCCCCGAAGGCUGACCCUUCAUGCCACAGGGAGGCCACACCUCAUUCCUAGGUGAGCCUGGGGCUCAUGCACACGCAGGUGUUGAUGGCAUGGACUGUAAUGAGUCAAGUGCCUGCUGCCAUUUCCUAGUGCAGGGGCGGGCGGGGGGAGCUCCUAGAGGAAGAGGGGAGGCUGCUACUCUCCAGGGCCGCAGGGAGUCCAGAACUCUGUCUCCGUAUGAGUCUGCAGCAACUCGGUUUUUGCCUUCUCAGAGGAAAUAAUUCAUCCAAGGGGCAGAAGGCAGAGUGAGAGACUGAGGCAAGUUUCAUUGCCGGAGUGAAAGUUUGGAGCCGGAACGAAAGGAUGAAGGUCAUACGGGCUGUACUUUGCCACUUCGCCUCGUAGUGCCUGACCUCACCAACUCCUGAGAUCUUACCAGGAAGCGGCUCGUCUCCAGCUUCAGGUGUUUUCUAUCUGUUGGGAGCCUGCCUUUCCCUGGCGCCAGCUGCAACCAAUUAUUAUUUUAGACGCUUGAGCAUCAGCCGAUGAUCACCUGACAUUUCUGGAGGGGUGGCGGCCCCUCUCCUGCCCUGCUCGUGUGGGGCUCGCCCUGCCCAGCCUUUCCGCAAGGGCCUGUCUUUCCUUCAUUUGUGCAGAAUGGACUCUUACUAUGAUCGCAGGAGCCGCUCACAGCCACUUCUGGAUGAACACCUGGCAGCUGCUCUGAAUAUGUGCUGUGAAAGUUGUCGGAAUCAAAAUGGAGUCACUGAUGCUAAGAAAGGCCUGACAGAGUGGUGGGGAAGGCCUUGAAGAGAGGACACUCAAGCUCACAUGCCAGAUACCAGAAAGGACUGCAAAAACUACAAGCCGGCACAAAGGCCCUCGCACCCGCACACAAAAAAUAUUUCUGCAAGGACAACCGCCCGGCACCUGCCUGUCCAAGCUCAGACUGGAGUCACUGUGGUUAUUGAUGUUUGUAGCCAAGGAUGAUCAUUGUGAUCAUGGUCGUGUUUCCUUUAAGGGCCUUUGUCUGGCCUGACCUCCCUGAACAGGCACGUGGUUUACUGUGGCAUGCGUGUUCCCCUGCAGUGCUAUGUUCCCAAGCUAACAUCUAUUCUAGAGAGCCUCUCUGCUUCCUGCUUAGGCUGACAAUGCUGUGGGUCUGGGCUCCCAGGAACAGGCGCUGACAUCAGAGGGGCAGAAAGAACAGCAGCUCCCCCUGAGGGAAUGCUUGCCAAGGAUAAGGAAAUGAUGGUUCUUUAAGGAUUAUUUUAUAUUCAUCUAAAAGGGUAUUUUUGUUGUUACCCCUAGCCUUUUUUCCCUUUUCAUUUUCUGAUGAAUAAUUUAUAUAAAGAAAACACAUUCCAACUGUGCAA